AGCUUUGCGCAGUGGCAGUAUCGUAGUCAAUGAGGUUUAUCCGAGGCACGGUUAUUGCUAAUUGAAAAUAUGGAGAUAUUCCAUUGGCAUUUGCUUUGUCCCUACUUUAGCAGUUACCAAAGCUCCAACAUGUCUCUUCUGUAUUUCUCUUAUUUUUCUGAAA
rnacentral:snRNA from 7 species